UACGAAGGGGCUAGCGUUGCUCGGAAUCACUGGGCGUAAAGAGCGUGUAGGCGGCCGAUUAGUCCGCUGUGAAAGUCCAGGCUCAACCCUGGAAUGCCGGUGGAUACUGUCGGGCUAGAGUCCGAAGGGCGAGUGGAAUUCCGUGGUGUAGCGGUGAAAUGCGCAGAUAUCAGGAGGAACACCAAUGGCGAAGGCAGCUCGCUGGGACGUGACUGACGCUGAGGAGCGAAAGCGUGGGAGCGAACAGGAUUAGAUACCCGUGG
rnacentral:rRNA from 1 species